rnacentral:rRNA from 1 species
AUUGAACGCUGGCGGCAGGCCUAACACAUGCAAGUCGGACGAGCGGAGGACGGGUGAGUAAUUUAUGGGGAUCUGCCUGAUGGAGGGGGAUAACUACUGGAACCGGUAGAUAAUACCGCAUACCACCAGAUGAACCCAUGUGGAAUUAGCUUGUAGGUGAGGUAACGGUUAACCGGGGCGACGAUGCCUAGCUGGGCUGAGAGGAUGAUCAGCCACACUGGGAUUGUGACACGGCCCAAACUCCUACGGGAGGCAGCAGUGGGGAAUAUUGCACAAUGGGCGCAAGCCUGAUGCGACCAUGCCGCGUGUAUGACGAAGGCCUUCGGGUUGUAAAGUACUUUCAGUCGGGAGGCGUUACCGACAGAAGAAGCACCGGCUAACUCCGUGCCAGCCGCCGCGGUAAUUC